UUAGCAUAAAAGUAAGAAACCAUGAACACAACAUAAAAAGUAUGAAUGUUUGGGUUCCAUAUAAAAAACAUAGCAAUCCAAAGAGGAUGAUCUGCUUCGUCCAAUACUGUGGAACACAAUCAUACUAACAAAUAGUGUGGGUGGUGUGAAAUAUUCAUGAUUGUACUUAUGUUUGCAGGCCCACUCUGAAUCCAUCCAUGGUUCUUCCAUAAAAGACUUGAAAGAAUACAUAACUGGGUGGUGCAAUAAACGUAUGGUAUCCAGUAAAAUAAAGUUCCAACAGAUGUCUAUGAUAUGAAACCUGUAAAAGACUGUAAGGGGGUGUAAGAGGGAUAAAUAAUUCCAUUUUCUCCCCACCCCCCCAUAUCAGAGUUAUUAUUUCCUCCAGAAAAAGAAAUCCUGUGGGGUCAGCG
rnacentral:lncRNA from 1 species